rnacentral:rRNA from 1 species
AUUGAACGCUGGCGGCAGGCCUAACACAUGCAAGUCGAACGAGUGGCGGACGGGUGUGUAAUGUCUGGGAAACUGCCUGCUGGAGGGGGAUAACUACUGGAACCGGUAGCUAUUACCGCAUACCAUCAGAUGUUCCCAGAUGGGAUUAGCUUGUUGGUGGGGUAACGGCGCACCAAGGCGACGAUCGCUAGCUGGUCGGAGAGGAUGACGAGCCACACGGGAACUGAGAGACGUGCCAGACUCCUACGGGAGGCAGCAGUGGGGAAUAUUGCACAAUGGGCGCAAGCCUGAUGCAGCCAUGCCGCGUGUAUGAAGAAGGCGUUCGGGUUGUAAAGUACUUUCAGCGGGGAGGCGUUAGCCGCAGAAGAAGCACCGGCUAACUCCGUGCCAGCCGCCGCGGUAAUAC